CAGUCGCCGCGGUAAUACGUAGGUCCCGAGCGUUGUCCGGAUUUAUUGGGCGUAAAGCGAGCGCAGGCGGUUAGAUAAGUCUGAAGUUAAAGGCUGUGGCUUAACCAUAGUACGCUUUGGAAACUGUUUAACUUGAGUGCAAGAGGGGAGAGUGGAAUUCCAUGUGUAGCGGUGAAAUGCGUAGAUAUAUGGAGGAACACCGGUGGCGAAAGCGGCUCUCUGGCUUGUAACUGACGCUGAGGCUCGAAAGCGUGGGGAGCAAACAGGAUUAGAUACCCGUGUAGUCCCUGUCUCUUAUACC
rnacentral:rRNA from 1 species